rnacentral:ncRNA from 2 species
UGAAUAUUGACUCUUCGAGCCUGCACACCUAAAUCAUCGGACAUGGUGCGCCGGCCGGCGGACUUCUAAAGGAGUCCCGAAGGCACAGAUGGAAACGCCUGUACCUCCCGUGUUUGGAAAGGAGAGCUAUCUAUAUGAUG